AGAACACUUAAGGGACAAGCCUUCAUGAGAAAAUAAAUAUAUGCAUGGGUAUUUGCAAGAUUUUUCACUUCUCAUUUGAAUACAAAAUAUUAUGCAGGACAUUGGGAUGUUUUUCUCACUGCGGUCCAAUCUUGAACUUCCCAAAAGACCCUGCACUGGAUGGUGAUGAAUUGCACAAUGGGAUACCCACCCAUGGUCCACUGCACUCUGCAUCAGAAGUGCUCCUGGUGAGGAUGCACACCGCUGACACAAGGAGCUAAAUAUUCACACUCACAAGUGAUGUAAUAACAGCGGCAUGAUGUAACUUGCCUUCAUUUUUACCUCGGA